UCAGAAUUUGAGGCAAAGGAAGUGAGCGUGCAAAAUGAGUGAGUAACCAUACAAUCACAAAACUAUUUUGGGUUUAAUUUCUUAAUUAGAGUUCUUCGAUGCUAAGAGUAUUUUUAUGGUAAUGGGUUUUGAGUUUUCAAUUGAAAAAUUGUGAAUUUAGUUUACUUAUUUAAUUCAUCUUCUUGAUUGUUCCAUCUAUCUUCGUUUUUAUUCUUUCCUUUAUGAAAUGAAGUUUCUAAAAAAU
rnacentral:lncRNA from 1 species